rnacentral:ncRNA from 1 species
GUUUCUUCUUUUACACAUGCAACUCUCAGCAAACCAGUGAGGACGCCCUUUAAACCUUCACCAGGUAAAGGAGCCGAUAUCAGGCACAAAUCCAGCCCACAACAUCUAGUCCCACCACACCCCCAAGGGUAAUCAGCAGUGAUUAAUUUUGUAUAUAAGCGCAAGCUUGAUUCAGUUAGAGAAAAGAGGGCCGGCUAACAUUGGUGCCAGCCGCCGCGGCUACACCCUAGGGCUCAAGUUGAUAAUCAUCGGCGUUAAGCGUGAUUAAAGUUACUAAAAAAUUAGGAUUAAAUUAACACUUAGUAGUUUUAUGCUUGUUGUUAAGAAACACACAAACGAAAGUUAUCCUAAACACACUUGAAUACACGACAGUUAGGGAAACAAACUGGGAUUAGAUACCCCACUAUGCCUAACCGUAAACAAUUUAUUUACACCUACCAGCGCCAGGGAACUACGAGCAAUGCUUAAAACCCAAAGGAUUUGACGGUGUCCCACCCAGCUAGAGGAGCCUGUUCUAUAAUCGAUGAUCCCCGCUACACCCCACCAUCUCUAGCUAAUCAGUCUGUAUACCUCCGUCCAAAGCUUACCAUGUGAACGCUCUUCAGUAGGCUUAAUGAUCCCAACACCCAUCAACACGUCAGGUCAAGGUGCAGCUUAAGAAAUGGAAAGCAAUUGGCUACAAUUUCUAAUUUAGAACAAACGAAAGGCUAUGUGAAAUCAUAACCAUGAAGGUGGAUUUAGUAGUAAAAAGAAAAUAGAGUGUUCUUUUUAACCCGGCUCUGGGACGUGUACACACCGCCCGUCACCCUCUUCGAUAACUCAUGAUUCUGUCCCUAACCCCAUUAUACCUUAGAAGAGGCAA